rnacentral:rRNA from 1 species
UUCGAGUGGCGGACGGGUGAGUAACGCGUGGGUAACCUGCCUUACACAGGGGGAUAACACCUGGAAACAGGCGCUAAUACCGCAUAAGCGCACAGGGCCGCAUGGCCCGGUGUGAAAAACUCCGGUGGUGUAAGAUGGACCCGCGUCUGAUUAGCUUGUUGGCGGGGUAGGAGCCCACCAAGGCGACGAUCAGUAGCCGGCCUGAGAGGGUGGACGGCCACAUUGGGACUGAGACACGGCCCAAACUCCUACGGAAGGCAGCAG